GAGCUCUAGCUUCUAAACCUAAUUACCUCCCACAGACCCCAUUUGGUAAUAUUCUCAUAAUGGUGAUUAAGUUUCAAUAUAUGAAUUUGGGGAUGAGGAUGAAAACAUCAUAACAGUGGACAGUAGUAGUUCACAUGUAUAAUCAGAUAUCCUACAUUUCAUUAUGGAUCUUUCAAUGAGCCUUUAGUUUUAUAACUUGUUAUUAAACUGACUGUGAAUGCUAUCUUCCAGCAUUUUAAAACUAUUGUCAAACUUGACUAAAUCUCUCUUGAAUUUCUUCUUGGGUUAGCCACAUGCUUUCAGUACAUAGCACAUGGGAUACAUUCAUACCAUCAAAUGAGUUCUGGACCUGCACCUUUGGUCUUGAUACUGAAUCAGUCAGUACACAACAUGGUAGGAGAAUUGCUAGAAGUUUGUCUUGACCUCUCUUAGGUAGUUGUAAUUUACUGCACACUAAGUUCUGAAGACUGACCCUACUGGUCUUAAACAACUGUAAGACCCUCUUGCCCAUAUACAAUUAGGGAUCUCAUGACCUUUCAACCUUUAGCCCCACCCUUUGUUUACCACUUUGAGUGCUGGCACCCAUGACUGUAAAAGGAAGAAAAAAAAAAACCCUAAAAGGCAAAGAAGCAAAGCAACUAUGCCAACUGUCAGGUCAGGUCUGCAGAGUCCCACCUUACUCUCUCUUCCUGUGUAAAGAGGAGAACCAGUCUUGGUUGUUUAGGCAGAAACUAACCUGCAAUAUGCAAGCAAAUACUUACCUACUGAAGGCAAUUAUAUUCCAUUGAGGAAAAAAAUAAUCAUCAUAAUCCUGCCUGCAUCUUUCAAUCCUGUUUUCAUUAAGACCAACACUAGAGCUUCCUGCCUAUUAGAAUUAACCCUGCUUUCUGUACCUUUGUCCAUCUGCCUUCAUCUCUUCCCCCAAACAAUUGCUCUGCUUUCAUAGCUACCAAAUUAAAAAGCAAACACACACAAAAGUCAGGAUCACAUAAAACACGAAGACCUGAAAUCCUUUGUACUUAUCUCCUUACAACAAUCACUCCCUCCCCCCUGUUUGGGUUUUGAGUAAAAUUCAAGAUUUUUAUUUAUAUUUUUCUCUUGACUAUCUGAAUUCCAUUUUAUUUUCCAAAAUACUCCAAUCUGGCCUUUAUGUCUAUUAGCUGCUAAAAUGACUGAUCAGAGUUGCCUGUGACCUCUAUGUUGACCCGAUAACCUUGUGUUUGUUGUUUGUCUACUUCUCAGUGUCUUUUUCAACAAGCCCACAAUCUACUCUUCCUAACCUUUUCAGGUUUCUUCCACACCGACUGCCUAUAUUAUUUCUCUUUUGCCAACUUUCCUCCACUAAUGGGUUUCUAAUAGUUUGACUUGGGGCUAGGUAUUUUAGUUUGGAUUUGUUUUUUGAACAAAUAAAUGUAGCCCAAGCUGGCCUUGAACACAUGAUCCUGCUUCACUCUCUUGAGAUUUUAUUAUGAGUGGGCACUACUCUGUUCCCUGCAAGGCUGGGUUCUUGAUCUCCUUUUUUCCUUUCUUCUUUUUCCUCCUUAUACUCUUCUUCUUACUCCUC